rnacentral:lncRNA from 1 species
CCACCACUAACACCAUCUCCUCCUCCUCUCUGCAACAAGAAAAAAAAAAGCCAUUUACAGGGGGUGAUGUGCAACUAAUUAAAGGCAGACUGGCAGCGUCUGCAAAUUCUAAGGCUCCCCAAAUAAAAAGAGACUGUUGUAACAGUUGGAGGAUAAUGCAAAGGAAGACGCUGCCUGGGAAUUCACCGUCUGUGGACAUGCGCCCCAGAGAGGAAUAAAGCAGUCCUCACCUUGCUCUCCCCACCCAGACCCACUUUCCCUCCCGCCUCGGCCCCCACCCCGACACCACCAUCACCCC